rnacentral:rRNA from 1 species
CCUACGGGAGGCAGCAGUGGGGAAUAUUGGGCAAUGGGCGCAAGCCUGACCCAGCAACGCCGCGUGAAGGAAGAAGGCUUUCGGGUUGUAAACUUCUUUUGACAGGGAAGAGUAGCAGACGGUACCUGGCGAAUAAGCCACGGCUGACUACGUGCCAGCAGCCGGGGUAAUACGUAGGUGGCAAGCGUUGUCCGGAUUUACUGGGGGUAAAGGGCGUGUAGCCGGGUUGACAAGUCAGAUGUGACAUCCUGCGGCUUAACCGCAGAACUGCAUUUGAAACUGUUGAUCUUGAGUACUGGACAGGCAGACGGAAUUCCUAGUGUAGCGGUGAAAUGCGUAGAUAUUAGAGGAACACCAGUGGCGAAGGCGGUCUGCUGGACAGCAACUGACGGUGCGGCGCGAAAGCGUGGGGAGCAAACAGGAUUAGAUACCCCUGUAGUC